rnacentral:rRNA from 1 species
GAUGAACGCUAGCGGGAGGCCUAACACAUGCAAGCCGAGCGGGAUUUGAGACUAGCUUGCUAGUCUUUAUGAGAGCGGCGUACGGGUGCGGAACACGUGUGCAACCUGCCUUUGUCUGGGAGAUAGCCUUUCGAAAGGAAGAUUAAUAUCCCAUAAUAUAAUGAUUGGCAUCAAUUAUUAUUGGAAGCUCCGGCGGAUAGAGAUGGGCACGCGCAAGAUUAGAUAGUUGGUGAGGUAACGGCUCACCAAGUCGAUGAUCUUUAGGGGGCCUGAGAGGGUGAUCCCCCACACUGGUACUGAGACACGGACCAGACUCCGACGGGAGGCAGCAGUGAGGAAUAUUGGACAAUGGGUGAAAGCCUGAUCCAGCCAUCCCGCGUGAAGGAUUAAGGACCUAUGGUUUGUAAACUUCUUUUCUACAGGGAUAAACCUACUCUCGUGAGAGUAGCUGAAGGUACUGUAGGAAUAAGCACCGGCUAACUCCGUGCCAGCCGCCGCAGUAA